UAACUGUCUGGGAAUGCAGCCCAAUAGGUCUCAGCCUUAUUUUACCCAGCUCCUAUUCAAGAUAGAGUUGCUCUGGUUCAAACGUCUCUGACAAAAUCAUGUCUUCGUGUCUUUAGAUCACCGUAAUCAGGAGAGUUACAAGUGCAAAUUGAUAAAGAGUGCUUUAUCAGUAAGUCAAAUACCAGGAAUAAAAUUCUUGAUGACAGCAUGCUUUUCGAAAAUAAUGGACAAUUCUUGGUAAAGUGCCA
rnacentral:lncRNA from 1 species